rnacentral:rRNA from 1 species
UACGAAGGGGGCUAGCGUUGCUCGGAAUUACUGGGCGUAAAGGGCGCGUAGGCGGCUUCGCUAGUCGGGCGUGAAAUGCCUGGGCUUAACCCGGGAAUUGCGUUCGAUACUUCGAGGCUAGAGUGUGGGAGAGGUUGGUGGAAUUCCCAGUGUAGAGGUGAAAUUCGUAGAUAUUGGGAAGAACACCGGUGGCGAAGGCGGCCAACUGGACCACAACUGACGCUGAGGCGCGAAAGCGUGGGGAGCAAACAGG